rnacentral:rRNA from 1 species
UCCCUGAAAGAUGAUCAGGUUGAUAGGUCAGAGGUGGAAGCAUGGUGACAUGUGGAGCUGACUGAUACUAAUCGAUCGAGGACUUAACCAA